AAUGAACGUUGGCGGCAUGGAUUAGGCAUGCAAGUCGUGCGAUGAAGCAGAGCUUGCUCUGUGGAUUAGCGGCGAAAGGGAGAGUAACACGUAGAUCAUCUACCCUCGGGACAGGGAUAGCCACGGGAAACUGUGGGUAAUACCCGAUAAUGUCUCUGGACCAAAGGCUUCGGCGCCUGAGGACGAGUCUGCGUACUACUAGCUUGUUGGUGGGGUAAUGGCCUACCAAGGCUUCGAUGGUUAGCGGGUGUGAGAGCAUGGCCCGUCUCACCGGAACUGAGACACUGUCCGGACACCUACGGGUGGCUGCAGUCGAGAAUCUUCGGCAAUGGACGCAAGUCUGACCGAGCGAUGCCGCGUGCUGGAUGAAGGCCCUUGGGUUGUAAACAGCUGUCAGAGGGAAGGAAAUUUUGACUGAACCUCAGAGGAAGUCCGGGCUAAGUUCG
rnacentral:rRNA from 1 species